rnacentral:rRNA from 1 species
UCGGAAUUACUGGGCGUAAAGCGCACGUAGGCGGAUACUUAAGUUAGGGGUUAAAUCCCGGGGCUCAACCCCGGAACUGCCUUUGAUACUGGGUAGCUAGAGUCCGGAAGAGGUGAGUGGAAUUCCGAGUGUAGAGGUGAAAUUCGUAGAUAUUCGGAGGAACACCAGUGGCGAAGGCGGCUCACUGGUCCGGUACUGACGCUGAGGUGCGAAAGCGUGGGGAGCAAACAG